CUACUCAAGUUGAGGCUUGAUAAUAGAUUUACUAAAAAAAUAUAAAUGAGCCAAAGCUGAGAAAGAUAUGGGUAACCCAAGUAAUUAAAUAUGUUAAAGUAGCAGAAUAAAGAAUGAAGGUUGCUGGAGAAGUGAAGAAUGUUAGUUGUGCAACAGGAAGGAUUGCAACCUGACUGGUUUGACCGGUAGUAGAGCUCGGCAACUACUUUCGGAGGAUAAUCGAGAAACAUCCUGUGUUCAAGUAGUUGAAUUUCACGAUCAUCAUAUCAUUUUGGUCCUCAGAAUUUGAGGGUAUUAUCUGAGUUUCACAUGGCUUCCGUUCAAAUAUCUGAACCCUCUUAAUUUUAAGGGCAGAUGUUAAAGUUGAAAUCCAUCGAGCUGAAAAAGAAAAAUAAACAGCUGUAAACAAGUAGAGGAAAAGAAGAAUUCGUGGAGGAUAAUAUAUAUGUGCCCCACUUCAUGUCAUUGCAGAGAGCACGCAGUCGAGUUUUGGAAAUGAAUGAAACAUACAGAAAACAUCUCUGAUGCUACUUGAAAACGACAAACAAUGGACUGGUACUUGAAAACGACAAACAAUGGACUCGACAGUAGUAGACAUCAAAUAUAUCAGGUUGUUAUUGCUAUGCAGAUAUCAAUAUCAAACAAGUUUCUCCUUAGAGCAUUGAAAGUUUGUUGCGGCCGUCCACAGACAAAGCAUCUCCAUCAGUAGUCACUUCUAUGGACCCAGUAGGCAUGGACUAGGAUGCUAGUCCGUAUGUUGAGAUAACAUUUUUCAGAGUAUUAUUUCGUUUUGUGAGCAUGGUAAUAAUCUUAUUUACAAAUUUAACAAGCUA